rnacentral:rRNA from 1 species
UACGGAAGGCAGCAGUGGGGAAUAUUGCACAAUGGGCGCAAGCCUGAUGCAGCCAUGCCGCGUGUAUGAAGAAGGCCUUCGGGUUGUAAAGUACUUUCAGCGGGGAGGAAGGGAGUAAAGUUAAUACCUUUGCUCAUUGACGUUACCCGCAGAAGAAGCACCGGCUAACUCCGUGCCAGCAGCCGCGGUAAUACGGAGGGUGCAAGCGUUAAUCGGAAUUACUGGGCGUAAAGCGCACGCAGGCGGUUUUGUUAAGUCAGAUGUGAAAUCCCCGGGCUCAACCUGGGAACUGCAUCUGAUACUGGCAAGCUUGAGUCUCGUAGAGGGGGUAGAAUUCCAGGUGUAGCGGUGAAAUGCGUAGAGAUCUGGAGGAAUACCGGUGGCGAAGGCGGCCCCUGGGACGAAGACUGACGCUCAGGUGCGAAAGCGUGGGGAGCAAACAGGGAUUAGAUACC